GUGUCAGCCGCCGCGGUAAUACGUAGGGUGCGAGCGUUAAUCGGAAUUACUGGGCGUAAAGGGUGCGCAGGCGGCCUCGCAAGUCAGGCGUGAAAUCCCCGAGCUUAACUUGGGAAUUGCGUUUGAAACUACGAGGCUGGAGUGUGGCAGAGGGAGGUGGAAUUCCACGUGUAGCGGUGAAAUGCGUAGAUAUGUGGAGGAACACCGAUGGCGAAGGCAGCCUCCUGGGCCAACACUGACGCUCAUGCACGAAAGCGUGGGGAGCAAACAGGAUUAGAAACCCCCGUAGUCC
rnacentral:rRNA from 1 species